AAAGUUAUUUGUAUUUUUCCUCUCUCCAUUAAAACCAAACAACCCACACAACCCACCUGCAACUGCAAUAAACCUUCUUCUUUACUUACCAUCACCCAUCACAAACCGCAUAAAAACACCUUAACACUACCUCCAAAAAAACCGUAAACUCACUUCAAUAUAAACCUCAUUCUACAACCACGUUCUCCUUCCGAUGUUCACUCUCCACAACUUCAACAAGCGGAGCCAACACCUGCCACCAUCAUGUUCCGACGCAAAAGGCUUAUCUAUCACCGCAUCGGACAAAUCUCCAUGGAAAACCACUAAAUAACAACCAAAGACAGCUCCACCCUUGGGUCUUUCAAUGAGGAGGUUAGAUAUAAAAGCUUGACUCUUUUCUUUCCUCUCUACUGAAUCGAUUCACGGUUACAAAAGAUGAUUUCCUCUCAGUAGCUUAAAAGGAUUUUAUGUCCGUUCAUCUCCAUUCUACACCCAACCUCAAUAUUUUCCUCUCUCUAGGAUGUUUGAUGCUGAUAUCAGUGACAAUGUUACUGGUCAAGGAUGUGUAAUUAAGGCAAG